rnacentral:rRNA from 1 species
CAAGCUUCCUACGGGAGGCAGCAGUGGGGAAUAUUGCACAAUGGGCGCAAGCCUGAUGCAGCCAUGCCGCGUGUGUGAAGAAGGCCUUCGGGUUGUAAAGCACUUUCAGCGGGGAGGAAGGCAUUAAGGUUAAUAACCUUAGUGAUUGACGUUACCCGCAGAAGAAGCACCGGCUAACUCCGUGCCAGCAGCCGCGGUAA